rnacentral:rRNA from 1 species
AACGAACGCUGGCGGCAGGCUUAACACAUGCAAGUCGAGCGCCCCGCAAGGGGAGCGGCCGCCGGGUGAGUAACGCGUGGGAACGUACCUUUUGGUUCGGAACAACUCCGGGAAACUGUAGCUACUACCGGAUAAGCCCUAACGGGGAAAGAUUUAUCGCCGAAAGAUCGGCCCGCGUCUGAUUAGCUAGUUGGUGAGGUAACGGCUCACCAAGGCGACGAUCAGUAGCUGGUCUGAGAGGAUGAUCAGCCACACUGGGACUGAGACACGGCCCAGACUCCUACGGGAGGCAGCAGUGGGGAAUAGUGGACAAUGGGCGCAAGCCUGAUCCAGCCAUGCCGCGUGAGUGAUGAAGGCAUUAGGGUUGUAAAGCUCUUUUGUCCGGGAAGAUAAUGACUGUACCGGAAGAAUAAGCCCCGGCUAACUUCGUG